CCAGACUCCUACGGGAGGCAGCAGUGGGGAAUAUUGCACAAUGGGGGAAACCCUGAUGCAGCGACGCCGCGUGAGUGAAGAAGUAAUUCGUUAUGUAAAGCUCUAUCAGCAGGGAAGAAAGAAGACGGUACCUGACUAAGAAGCCCCGGCUAACUACGUGCCAGCAGCCGCGGUAAUACGUAGGGGGCGAGCGUUAUCCGGAUUCACUGGGUGUAAAGGGAGCGUAGACGGCCGUGCAAGCCAGGAGUGAAAGCCCGGGGCCCAACCCCGGGACUGCUCUUGGAACUGUGCGGCUGGAGUGCGGGAGGGGCAGGCGGAAUUCCUGGUGUAGCGGUGAAAUGCGUAGAUAUUAGGAGGAACACCAGUGGCGAAGGCGGCUUACUGGACUGUAACUGACACUGAGGCACGAAAGCGUGGGGAGCAAACAGGAUUAGAUACCCCAGUA
rnacentral:rRNA from 1 species